AUUUAAGUAGUUUAAUUUAGAAUAAUAAUUUGUGGUGUUAUAGGUGUUGUUAACCUUAAAUU
rnacentral:tRNA from 2 species